rnacentral:rRNA from 1 species
AUACGUAGGGGGCGAGCGUUGUCCGGAAUGAUUGGGCGUAAAGGGCGCGUAGGCGGCCUGUUAAGUCUGGAGUGAAAGUCCUGUUUUCAAGAUGGGAAUUGCUUUGGAUACUGAUGGGCUUGAGUGCAGGAGAGGUUAUCGGAAUUCCCGGUGUAGCGGUGAAAUGCGUAGAGAUCGGGAGGAACACCAGUGGCGAAGGCGGGUAACUGGACUGCAACUGACGCUGAGGCGCGAAAGUGUGGGGAGCAAACAGGAUUAGAUACCCUGGUAGUCCACACUGUAAACGAUGAAUGCUAGGUGUAAGAGGUAUCGACCCCUUUUGUGCCGGAGUUAACACAAUACGCAUUCCGCCUGGGGAGUACGGCCGCAAGGUUGAAACUCAAAGGAAUUGACGGGG